rnacentral:rRNA from 1 species
AGUGAACGCUGGCGGUAGGCCUAACACAUGCAAGUCGAACGGCAGCACAGUAAGAGCUUGCUCUUACGGGUGGCGAGUGGCGGACGGGUGAGGAAUACAUCGGAAUCUACUUUUUCGUGGGGGAUAACGUGGGGAAACUUACGCUAAUACCGCAUACGACCUACGGGUGAAAGCAGGGGAUCUUCGGACCUUGCGCGAUUGAAUGAGCCGAUGUCGGAUUUGCUAGUUGGCGGGGUAAAGGCCCACCAAGGCGACGAUCCGUAGCUGGUGUGAGAGGAUGAUCAGCCACACUGGAACUGAGACACGGUCCAGACUCCUACGGGAGGCAGCAGUGGGGAAUAUUGGACAAUGGGCGCAAGCCUGAUCCAGCCAUACCGCGUGGGUGAAGAAGGCCUUCGGGUUGUAAAGCCCUUUUGUUGGGAAAGAAAAGCAGCAGGUUAAUACCCCGCUGUUCUGACGGUACCCAAAGAAUAAGCACCGGCUAACUUCGUG